AAGCCCCGGUGUACCUUCAUACACAUCAUUGAGUUUGCAACUCAACAUGAACUUCACUACAGAGCU
rnacentral:tRNA from 1 species